rnacentral:rRNA from 1 species
GACGAACGCUGGCGGCGUGCUUAACACAUGCAAGUCGAACGGUGAACUCCGCUUGCGGGGGGAUCAGUGGCGAACGGGUGAGUAACACGUGGGCAACCUGCCCUCAGCUCUGGGAUAACUCCAAGAAAUUGGGGCUAUUACCGGAUAGAACCGCUAACCCCCUGCCUGGGGGGGGGAAGAAUUUUUCGGCUGAGGAUGGGCCCGCGGCCUAUCAGCUUGUUGGUGGGGUAGUGGCCUACCAAGGCGACGACGGGUAGCCGGCCUGAGAGGGUGACCGGCCACACUGGGACUGAGACACGGCCCAGACUCCUACGGGAGGCAGCAGUGGGGAAUAUUGCGCAAUGGGCGGAAGCCUGACGCAGCGACGCCGCGUGGGGGAUGACGGCCUUCGGGUUGUAAACCUCUUUCAGCAGGGACGAAGCGAAAGUGACGGUACCUGCAGAAGAAGCACCGGCCAACUACGUG